UACAGAGGUCUCAAGCGUUGUUCGGAUUCAUUGGGCGUAAAGGGUGCGUAGGUGGCGGGGCAAGUCUGGUGUGAAAUCCCGGGGCUCAACCCUGGAACUGCACUGGAUACUGCUUUGCUAGAGUACUGGAGAGGGGAACUGGGAAUUUUACGGGUGUAGCAGUGAAAUGCGUAGAUAUCGUAAGGAAGACCAGUGGCGAAGGCGAGUUCCUGGACAGUUACUGACACUGAGGCACGAAGGCCAGGGGGAGCAAA
rnacentral:rRNA from 1 species